rnacentral:rRNA from 1 species
UUGAAGAGUGGCGAACGGGUGAGGAACACGUAAGAAUCUACCUUUCGGUUGGGGAUAACUUCUAGAAACGGGAGCUAAUACCCAAUAUGCUGUGGAGUGAAAGAAUUUCGCCGAAAGACGAUCUUGCGUCUGAUUAGCUAGUUGGUAAGGUAAAAGCUUACCAAGGCGACAAUCAAUAGCUGAUUUGAGAGGAUGAUCAGCCACAUUGGGACUGAGACACGGCCCAGACUCC